rnacentral:rRNA from 1 species
CUGGUUCUCCCCGAAGCUAUUUAGGUUAGCGCCUCGUGAAUUCAUCUCCGGGGGUAGAGCACUGUUUCGGCAAGGGGGUCAUCCCGACUUACCAACCCGAUGCAAACUGCGAAUACCGGAGAAUGUUAUCACGGGAGACACACGGCGGGUGCUAACGUCCGUCGUGAAGAGGGAAACAACCCAGACCGCCAGCUAAGGUCCCAAAGUCAUGGUUAAGUGGGAAACGAUGUGGGAAGGCCCAGACAGCCAGGAUGUUGGCUUAGAAGCAGCCAUCAUUUAAAGAAAGCGUAAUAGCUCACUGGUCGAGUCGGCCUGCGCGGAAGAUGUAACGGGGCUAAACCAUGCACCGAAGCUGCGGCAGCGACACUAUGUGUUGUUGGGUAGGGGAGCGUUCUGUAAGCCUGCGAAGGUGGCCUGUGAGGGUUGCUGGAGGUAUCAGAAGUGCGAAUGCUGACAUAAGUAACGAUAAAGCGGGUGAAAAGCCCGCUCGCCGGAAGACCAAGGGUUCCUGUCCAACGUUAAUCGGGGCAGGGUGAGUCGACCCCUAAGGCGAGGCCGAAAGGCGUAGUCGAUGGGAAACAGGUUAAUAUUCCUGUACUUGGUGUUACUGCGAAGGGGGGACGGAGAAGGCUAUGUUGGCCGGGCGACGGUUGUCCCGGUUUAAGCGUGUAGGCUGGUUUUCCAGGCAAAUCCGGAAAAUCAAGGCUGAGGCGUGAUGACGAGGCACUACGGUGCUGAAGCAACAAAUGCCCUGCUUCCAGGAAAAGCCUCUAAGCAUCAGGUAACAUCAAAUCGUACCCCAAACCGACACAGGUGGUCAGGUAGAGAAUACCAAGGCGCUUGAGAGAACUCGGGUGAAGGAACUAGGCAAAAUGGUGCCGUAACUUCGGGAGAAGGCACGCUGAUAUGUAGGUGAAGCGACUUGCUCGUGGAGCUGAAAUCAGUCGAAGAUACCAGCUGGCUGCAACUGUUUAUUAAAAACACAGCACUGUGCAAACACGAAAGUGGACGUAUACGGUGUGACGCCUGCCCGGUGCCGGAAGGUUAAUUGAUGGGGUCAGCGCAAGCGAAGCUCUUGAUCGAAGCCCCGGUAAACGGCGGCCGAUAACUACUAACGGUCC